UACGUAGGUGGCAAGCGUUGUCCGGAAUUAUUGGGCGUAAAGCGCGCGCAGGCGGUUCCUUAAGUCUGAUGUGAAAGCCCACGGCUCAACCGUGGAGGGUCAUUGGAAACUGGGGGACUUGAGUGCAGAAGUGGAGAGUGGAAUUCCACGUGUAGCGGUGAAAUGCGUAGAGAUGUGGAGGAACACCAGUGGCGAAGGCGGCUCUCUGGUCUGUAACUGACGCUGAGGCGCGAAAGCGUGGGGAGCAAACAGG
rnacentral:rRNA from 1 species